CCUACGGGAGGCAGCAGUGGGGAAUAUUGCGCAAUGGGCGCAAGCCUGACCCAGCAACGCCGCGUGAAGGAAGAAGGCUUUCGGGAUGUAAACUUCUAUUAAGAGGGAAGAACAUAAGACGGUACAUCUUAAAUACGCCACGUCUAACUACGUGCCAGCAGCCGCGGUAACACGUAGGUGGCAAGCGUUGUCCGGAUUUACUGGGUGUAAAGGGCGUGCACACGGGAAGACAAGUCUGAAGUGAAAUCCCGUGGCUCAACCAUGGAACUGCAUUUGAAACUGUUCAGCUUGAGUACAGGAGAGGUAAGCGGAAUUCCUUGUGUAGCGGUGAAAUGCGUAGAUAUUAGGAAGAACACCAGGGGCGAAGGCGGAUGACUGGACUGUAACUGACGUUGAGGCGCGAAAGCGUGGGGAGCAAACAGGAUUAGAUACCCGGGUAGUC
rnacentral:rRNA from 1 species